ensembl:snoRNA
ACUGUCCCUAGAGGCGUUGCAAGAGUGGCUGUUGUGUCACAUGAGCAUCACUAGGUGGCAGAGAGGAGAGAGGCCGUGUCUGAAUUCAGCCUCUGACCUGUGAACCUGAAAAAAGCGAACCUGAGAAG